AAUGAACCUCUGUUGUUUGUAAUUAACCCCCGCAUCACCACAAAGUCUUUGUCUGGAAUAUUGUCUUAAACGGAUUGUUUUCCACACCUCCGGCGCAGCUGAAAAGACUUUAAAGGUGCCUGGAGUAUGUUUGCAGCAGAUUCAGCCUUGUGCAGCAGGCCAAGGACAGUACAAUUUGGUUGGACCAGGGCUGCCUGACCAAAGCGCUCCACUCCACCUGGGUAAGGAGCGCGUGUCCCUGUCGGGAUGCCAGCCCUCAUCCCGAAGCGGCUGUGCCCAGGAGGGGACACGCUGAGUCACGUGCGAACACCUGGAUCCUGGAAAUAGCUGGAGUGCGGGAACGGCGCCGGAGGACACAGUGCCCGAAGUCAGGGCCGCGCGUGGUAAACUGCUCUGAGAAUAAAGGCGCUGCAUCAAUACACUGGUUUUUAGAUGACUGUCAUUCCUUUAAUAGGAAAUACAUUAAAGAGAUUUCCGGAGCCUCUUCGUGCAGAAAAACAAAGCAAAAUAAAAACCGCAAACAAAACAAAAC